AGUGAACGCUGGCGGUAGGCCUAACACAUGCAAGUCGAACGGCAGCACAGUAAGAGCUUGCUCUUACGGGUGGCGAGUGGCGGACGAGUGAGGAAUACAUCGGAAUCUACUUUUUCGUGGGGGAUAACGUAGGGAAACUUACGCUAAUACCGCAUACGACCUACGGGUGAAAGCAGGGGAUCUUCGGACCUUGCGCGAUUGAAUGAGCCGAUGUCGGAUUAGCUAGUUGGCGGGGUAAAGGCCCACCAAGGCGACGAUCCGUAGCUGGUCUGAGAGGAUGAUCAGCCACACUGGAACUGAGACACGGUCCAGACUCCUACGGGAGGCAGCAGUGGGGAAUAUUGGACAAUGGGCGCAAGCCUGAUCCAGCCAUACCGCGUGGGUGAAGAAGGCCUUCGGGUUGUAAAGCCCUUUUGUUGGGAAUGAAAAGCAGCAGGUUAAUACCCCGCUGUUCUGACGGUACCCAAAGAAUAAGCACCGGCUAACUUCGUG
rnacentral:rRNA from 1 species